ensembl:lncRNA
GUGGGCCCAGAGCCCACCCCUCCCUAACCUCAUUUAAGGGCUGCCAGCCAAGAGGGAAAUAUUUUUAUUUAGAGAUUCUCUAGGGAGUUUUUCAGGCAGCUUUUAUCUUCAGAGUAGGGUUGCCACUGUUCUUCUGAGCAUAUGACUAAAUACACAUCUGAAUUGUAUAUGUAAAAUCCUUUUAUUAUCUGGCCUGUAAAUUAAGCUUAGAAAGCCCAGGAAAUGGAAACCAGUGGAAAUAAAGCAUUCCUCUCUUACUGGCUGCAGCUAUGGAACAAGGAUUCUGAAGAGGUGAAAACAUAGAAUGUCAGGAUGUGCUGGGAGAUCCUGCUUUCUGUGGAAAAUCCGCGUGUCAAUACCUCUAAAUAUGUUAGCUCAUGUUCUCCAACAUAAUAGAUGUAAAAUGAUGAAAAAAUUCAAUAUCCAAAAUAACAACUAUGCAUUUAAACACCCUUGCUGCAGUUGAUGCAAUCUUAGACAGGUAAAGCUCCAUGCUCUUCUCCCUGACAAAGACAAUUUCCUCAUUUGUUACAGGUGUCUGUAUGUUAAGGUAUACAAGAUAAAUAAUCAUGUGGUUUACUUUGAGUCAAGAGUAAUGCACAGUGCAGAAGCAGCAUCAGCAGCAUCUUUAUAACCACUGAGCUAUUGAUGCACAAAUAAGCACUGCUUUUGCACAGCAUGCCCUGAAUCUAUUCUGGAUCCAGCAGCAAGGGUACUAUGGCUUACCAGAGAGUAUUUUCCCCAAGAGUGGGAUUUGCACAGAAGAGACAUCAGUCUGGCUCUUACAAAGCCCUGUCUGUCUCUGUUUGUUUUCAGACCCAGAGUAUUAAUAAAAUUCAAAAGACAGACAUGAAUGUUUCUUUCAUCUUCCUACUUGAAACAGAAAGGUGCCAAACUUCCAGGGAAUUCAUUUUACCAUGUCUGGAUACAUAUACUGUGAAGGAAAAGCGUAGAACAGUGAAAACACCCCUAAUUCUUUCAUCUAAUGAAAAUCAAGCUUGCUGUUCUGAGGGAGGAACUCUCUUAAAUAAUGUUUCAAUAUAAGGGUGUUCCCCCCACAUCAAGGAGGAUUAAAAUGACUUUUUUUUUAUCAGCAGUAUCUUUAUUGUUAUCUGGAAAAUAAAGUUGUGAUUGAAACAAGAUUAAUAUAGCAAUAGGAAAAUCCUUCAAAGCAGAGCCAUAUAGAACAUUCCCUUUGUGUAAAGCACAAUAAAGAGAUGAGAG